GGCCUGGGCAAAAUGAAUUCCCCCUUCUCCAGUGAAAAAAGUAUACAAGCAAAACCACGAAAAAGGUAGAUUUACAAAACUAUUCAAAUGUUUCUUAUUUGUAAUAGCAAAAAAGAACCAAAAUUCCCACCGACAAUAUCCUGGAACAGCACCCAACUUACAACAAGAAUAAGGAAUACUGCCACACCACUGCAGAGUGGCCUCUAGGAUCCCCUGUUAACUUAAAAAGAUUAAGGUAUGGAACAAAGUUUGUGACUAUUCUACCAAUGAACCAAGACAGAGGACAACCCAGAAGACUGCACAGGGAGAGCAGAGCUGGCACAGCUUGGAGUCAGGGUUGGGAGUCAGGUGUGGUCAAGACAUGAAGCUACUAACGUCUGCAUGGUCGAUAUCAUGGACAGCCUUAAAUACAGAAUUAAGGAGCUUGGAUUUUAACCUGUAUUCCGAGUUUAAAAAAAUACUGUUUCUGACAAGUACUCUCAGAUUUUGGGAGUGGAAUUUUUAUAAAAGAUAUUUUAAAGGCUGUAAUGCUCCCGCCCCCAAAUUUAAAACGUGUUCUAGUUUUGUCAGCUUAUCCAAGUCUCCAGCAUCUUGCGAGGUUCCCCUAUGAACCCAUGGAGUAUCCAUAUUUUUAACUACUUCAAUUUUGGUAUAGCAGCAUGGCAUGGCCCCAAGGUCCAUGAUCUUGCAUGUUCCUGCAUAAAUGCUCUCCUUUCAGAGCUCCAAGUGUCUGCAUUCAAACAGUGACUAUCCAACUUUUUAAUAGCUGUUUUUCGGCAGAAAGAUGACAUAACUUCUAUGAGCCUCAGUUUUCUUAUUUUUCAAAUGGGGAUUGGGACUGUAUUCAUUGAAAUAGUGCUGAGACCCCUUCCAUGCAUAAAAAUAAUGUGGUAUCUUCAGUGUAAGAUGAAAAAAAAGUCUUCCUUUUGGUUUUUGAAGGUCUUGGAGUUUAUUAUCUAUAUCAGGUUGAACACAUCACUUGGUUAUUAGAACGUUAGAUCAUGUCCACAAUCAGAGCUCCUAUUGGAUUAUUCCAAACCCUGAGUUGCAGACAACAUUAGACAUGACAAGGAAUUCAAGCAAAAGGGAAACAGAAAACACUGUGCUUUUUCAAUGAAUCCAAUGUAGGAAUUGAGCUCCACCUUUUUCAGGAAUAGCUGCAAUUGUGGAAUCAAACAGAAGUCCCUAAAUCUCUGCAGUUUUCUGCUUGAAUGUUUCAUUUUCUAGGUCUCAGUGUAAGUUUCUAUUAUUUUGUGCCCACAUGACCUGAAUGUGACCUGACCAUUUCUGAGUAUGAGGAAUUCAAUUUUAUUGUCCAGAUAUACAGAGAGAAACAAGUUCACUGUUGAUACAAAGAGCAAAAAUGUCAAGAGAAGAGGCACUGGUGUGCAUACGUCAGAUGCCCCACUCUGCAAAAAUCAAUAAUAUCUAAGUAAUAAGAUUCCUCGGGACAUGACCCUCCAGCCACAUUCAUCUGAAGAGAGUACAGAUGUGAGGGGGAAAACUCCUGAUAACAUGUGCUGUCCCAAAGGUUUGUGUGAGUGGAGGAUAAACUAAAGAUACGUGUUUGCUGCAGUUAAGUACAUCAUUUUCUGGCAUAGCAGAGAGUAGCCAGAUUCACAGCAGAAACGACAAAGUCAUUGACUCUAAAUUAGAGGACACUUAAGUUUAGCUCCUACAUUGCUACCUGCAUUCUCUUCACAAUUCACAAUCUAUUUCAUCACAGACAGAGGUGAGACUCAUCUUCAAUACUGUAUCUCACACAACACCCACUGCUCUGUAUCAAGGCUGUAAAGGCAGAAUUCCAUUUCUCAUGCAAAUGAGGGAAACAGGAAAAGAAUACACGUGUGUAAACGAUUUACAGAGAGAAACAGCAAGUUUACUCUUGAUAUGAAGACUAAAAAUAUCAAGGGGAGAUGCUGGUGUGCAUGUGUCAGAUGCCCCACACUAUAUGUCAACAAUAUCCAAGUAACAGGAUCCCUUGAGACAUGACCCCUCCAGCCACAGUCAUCUGAAUACAGUGCAAAUGUGAGGAAAAACCUUCUUGGUGGGUAGAAGAUAAGCAAAAAACAUGUGUUAGCAGCCAUUAAUUACAUCAUUUUCUGGCAUAAGAGAAAGCAACUAAAUUCAUGAUAGAAACAACAAAGUCAUUGACUUCAAAAAAAAAAGAACAAUGAAGUUUAGCUCCUAUAUUUGCUAACUGAAUUUUCUUCAUAAUUGAAAAUCCACUUCACAGGUAGAGGUGAAACUUAUCUUCAAUACUCGAUCUCACACAGCACCUGCUGCCUUGUAUCUAGGCAGUAAGGGCAGAAUUCUAUUUCUCUUGCAAAUGAGAAAAAAGGGAAAAGGAUUUCCAUUCACUUCACCCAUGUGCUCCUUAACUACUUAUGGCAUGCAUACAGUGGGCUGCAACUGUGCAGACAAUCAAACCCAUCACCUCUUUUCCUCAUCUUUCUCACAGUGACUCAUGACUCAUGGUAUGACCACACUCAUGGCUGGCUACAAAUGAGAGGAAAAAAGAAUGUCCUGAUAGUAGCAUGUGAGGAACUGCAUCAGGUAACCAUCUUUCCCCAAAAUUCACUCUCUUUCACACCAUUUCACAGCUAUCUUCCCUCCAUUAAUGGUUCUAUUCCACUGUCCCAUUCAAAGGUUAUCCCAGUGAGAAGAUCAAGGAUGGUCGCUGUCUGCCUUUUCUUCAUUGUUCCAGUUAGGUGGCAAAUGUUAUUUAUUCAAUUUUCUUAUUUCCUCUGGCAACAUUUCAUGCAUGUAUUGAGGAAGAGCUUAACAUAUACAUG
rnacentral:lncRNA from 1 species